CUGAGCUCCAUAGAGAGAGCGCUGGGCCAGGCAGAGCCAGACGGCACUGGGCGACUCUGUGCCUCGCAGAGGCAAAAUAACUAAACAUGGGCAAAGGAGAUCCCAAGAAGCCGAGAGGCAAAAUGUCAUCGUAUGCAUUUUUUCUGCAAACUUGCCGGGAAGAGCACAAGAAGAAACAUCCAGAUGCCUCAGUCAACUUCUCAGAAUUUUCUAAGAAGUGCUCUGAGACGUGGAAGACCAUGUCUGCUAAAGAGAAAGGGAAAUCUGAAGACAUGGCAAAGGCGGACAAGGCCUGUUAUGAAAGAGAAAUGAAAACCUAUAUUCCUCCUAAAGGGGAAACAAAAAGAAGUUCAAGGACCCCAAUGCACCAAAGAGGCCCCCUUCGGCCUUUUUCUUGUUUUGUUCUGAGCAUCGCCCGAAAAUCAAAGGCGAGCACCCUGGCCUGUCCAUCGGGGAUGUCGCAAAGAAACUGGGAGUGAUGUGGAACAAUACUGCCGCCGAGGACAAGCAGCCGAACGAGAAGAAGGUGGUGAAGCUGAAGGAGAAAUACGAAAAGGAUAUUGCUGCCUACCGGGCCAAGGGCAAACCCGAUGCCGCCAAAAAGGGAGUUGUUAAGGCCGAGAAAAGCAAAAAGAAGAAGGAAGAGGAGAAAGAUGAAGAAGAUGGGGAAGAUGAAGAGGAGGAGGAGGACGAGGAAGAUGAAGAUGAUGAUGAAUAAAUUGGUUCUAGCGCAGUUUUUCUUUUCUUGUCUAUAAAGCAUUUAACCCCCCUGUACACAACUCACUCCUUUUAAAGAAAAAAAAGUGAAAUGUAAGGCUGUGUAAGAUUUGUUUUUAAACUGUACAGGGUCUUUUUUUGUAUAGUUAACACACUACCUAAUGUGUCUUUAGAUAGCCCUGCCCUGGUGGUAUCUUCAGUAAGCCCAACUUGCCUGGUACAGUCUGGGGGUUGUAAAUUGGCAUGGAAAUUGAAACCAGGUCCUUGUGGUGUGUAGCACAAUUUAGUUAUAUAUGGGGAUGGUAGUUUUUGGUUUUGUUUUAUUUUUUUUUCCAUCUUCAGUUAUCUCUGAUGCAGCUUAUACAAAAUAAUUGUUGUUCUGUUAACUGAAUACCACUCUGUAAUUGCAAACAGGAAAAAAAAAGUUACAACUGUUUUGUUGACAUUCUGAAUGCUUCUAAGUAAAUACAAUUUUUU